AGCGUCAGCAUGCUAGUCCUUGCUGAGCUCCUGGGGCUACUGCUGCUCUGGCUUGCAGGUGUGAAAUGUGACAUCCAGAUGACCCAGUCUCCAUCCACUCUGUCUGCAUCUCUGGGAGAGAGUGUCACCAUCACUUGUCAUGCCAGCCAGAACAUUAAUAGUUGGUUAGCCUGGCACCAACAGAAGCCAGGGAAUGCUCCUAAACUCUUAAUCUCCAAGACAUCCAACUUGCAUACAGGGAUCCCAACAAGGUUCAGUGGCAGUGGAUCUGGGACAGACUACUCUCUAACCAUCAGCAACUUGCAGCCUGAAGACAUUGCCACUUAUUAUUGUCAACAGGAUCAAAGUGUUCCUCUCACAGUGAUACAAGUCAUAACACAAACCUCCAGGAGUGUGGCGAAGCAAGACUGA